AACGCUGGCGGCAGGCCUAACACAUGCAAGUCGAGCGAUCCCUUCGGGGAUAGCGGCGGACGGGUGAGUAACGCGUGGGAAUGUGCCUCUGGGUGCGGAACAACCGUUGGAAACGACGGCUAAUACCGCAUGAUGUCUUCGGACCAAAGAUUUAUCGCCCAGAGAUCAGCCCGCGUUGGAUUAGCUAGUUGGGGGGGUAAUGGCCCACCAAGGCGACGAUCCAUAGCUGGUUUGAGAGGAUGAUCAGCCACACUGGGACUGAGACACGGCCCAGACUCCUACGGGAGGCAGCAGUGGGGAAUCUUAGACAAUGGGGGAAACCCUGAUCUAGCCAUGCCGCGUGAACGAUGAAGGCCUUAGGGUUGUAAAGUUCUUUCACCGGGGAAGAUAAUGACGGUACCCGGAGAAGAAGCCCCGGCUAACUCCGUGCCAGCAGCCGC
rnacentral:rRNA from 1 species